AGAUUCGGUAGUGUAUACUAAUGUGUUUGCAGUUAAAAGCUCAUAGUUGGAUUUAUGAUUGAGUAUGUGGGUUCGCUCUUACGAGUGUGUAUCAUGUAUAUAUAUAUAUAUAUGGACAUCUUUUUGGAGAGCCACAGUGGCAUUAAGUUGUUGGUGUAGGGAUCCCAAUUCUUUAUUUUGAAGAAAUUAGAAUGUUCAAAGCAGGCUUAUACAAUUAAAUAUAUUAGCAUGUAAUAAAAACAUAGGCGUAUUGUACUAUUUUGCUGGUUUGUGUACAAUGACAAUGAUUAAUAGGGACAGUUCGGGGUAUUUUUAUUCCCUUGUCAGAGGUGAAACUCUUCAUUUUUUUGAAGAUAAACUACUGCGAAAGCAUUUGUCAAAGAUGUUUUCA
rnacentral:rRNA from 1 species